GAAAGCAGAGGAAGAAAGGGUAGGAAGAUCUCUGAGGCUGCUCCGCAGCAAAACCCUCCUGGCUUUGUGCAAAGGGAGAAGACUCCCUUCCUUCCAGGUGCCAAAGGGACCUGAGCAAAUCAAUCUGUCCGGAGCUCCUCCCUACCGGGACCCCAAGGGUGUCUGAGUGCUGACCGCCGCUCCCCAUCAAUUCCUCGUGGCCACGAGAGGAAGCGCGCCAGAUUGAAAGCUCCUAUCAACUGCUGGCAUUCCAAGGCUGCGAUAAAUAUCUUCGACGUGAAGGUCACCGAGGGAUGAUCUCUGGAGGACAAACUGAGUCUUUUGGUACAGAAGCAAGCUGAGUUUUCAAAGCUCUGAAGCAAGCAAACAAUUGCAAAACUCCGGCAUAGCCCUGCUGUGUUGAAAGUGGAAGACUAAAAUUUCUGUUCAUGAUGCCACAGUCCUCUUUUUUUUUUCUUUCUACUUUUAGAAGUCCCAAGUUC